GACGAACGCUGGCGGCGUGCCUAAUACAUGCAAGUUGAGCGCUGAAGGUUGGUACUUGUACCGACUGGAUGAGCAGCGAACGGGUGAGUAACGCGUGGGGAAUCUGCCUUUGAGCGGGGGACAACAUUUGGAAACGAAUGCUAAUACCGCAUAAAAACUUUAAACACAAGUUUUAAGUUUGAAAGAUGCAAUUGCAUCACUCAAAGAUGAUCCCGCGUUGUAUUAGCUAGUUGGUGAGGUAAAGGCUCACCAAGGCGAUGAUACAUAGCCGACCUGAGAGGGUGAUACGCCAAAAUGGGACUGGGACCAGGCCCAAGACCCUAAGGGAGGCAGCAGUAGGGAAACUUCGGAAAUAGACGGAAGUCUGACCGAGGAACGACGGGGGAGGGAAGAAGGUUUUCGGAUCGUAAAACUCUGUUGGUAGAGAAGAACGUUGGUGAGAGUGGAAAGCUCAUCAAGUGACGGUAACUACACAGAAAGGGACGGCUAACUACGUG
rnacentral:rRNA from 1 species